rnacentral:tRNA from 2 species
GGCCCUAUGGUCAAGUGGUUAAGACACCACCCUUUCACGGUGGUAACCCGGGUUCGAGUCCCGGUAGGGUCACCA